UGGGGAAUUUUGGACAAUGGGGGCAACCCUGAUCCAGCGAUGCCGCGUGUGCGAAGAAGGCCUGCGGGUUGUAAAGCACUUUGGUUGGGGAAGAAGGUUGGGCGUUGAAUAGAUGCCUGAAUUGACGUUACCCAAAGAACAAGCACCGGCUAACUCUGUGCCAGCAGCCGCGGUAAUACAGAGGGUGCGAGCGUUAAUCGGAAUUACUGGGCGUAAAGCGUGCGCAGGCGGUUUUGUAAGUCUGAUGUGAAAUCCCCGGGCUCAACCUGGGAAUUGCAUUGGAGACUGCAAGGCUAGAAUCUGGCAGAGGGGGGUAGAAUUCCACGUGUAGCAGUGAAAUGCGUAGAUAUGUGGAGGAAUACCAGUGGCGAAGGCGGCCCCCUGGCACAACACUGACGCUCAGGUGCGAAAGCGUGGGGAGCAAACAGGAUUAGAUACCCAAGUAGUCCCUGAGCGGGCUGGCAAGGCGCAU
rnacentral:rRNA from 1 species